rnacentral:lncRNA from 1 species
CUAUGGUGAGCCAGGCAAGAGAGGAUGGAGGUUGGGACCACAGUGGAUGGUGACAAGAGAGAAUGGCAAAAAGGUGGACAGAUUUGAGAUAUUGAUCUAGCCAUAAAAUACAUUACUUGCAGUUGGAUUGGAUAUAGAUGGUAAGCAUGAGAAAGAAAUCAAGGAGAUUUCCGUAUCGUUUGAACAGUAGGGAGGGUGGAAGUGCUAGCCACUGAAUGGGAAGGGAAAAGUGUAGAUGCAGAAAGUUUGUGAUGCCUAUGAAAUUUACAGUGGAGGUGGCAGAUGGGCAGUUGAAAGCCUGAGGCUCAGAAGAGAAGUCAGGUCAAGCAAUACAGAUGUGGGAAUUGCUAAUAUAUCAUUUGUACUUACAUCCAUCUACCUGAUUAGAUCAGCUAGAUAGAGUAUAAAGAAGAGUGCCGAGGACAGGGCCCUGAGAAGUUCUCAUGGUGAGAAAGCUGGUGUUAGAAGAACAAUAAUUAGCAAAGGAAACAGAGGGAGCAAUCAAGAGAGAAAGAAUAUGGGAAGUGCUCUGUCAUGGAAAGCAAGAAAAUACUUGAAGAAAGAGGCAGUGGUCAACCAGUAUGAAUGCUCAUCUGAAGAUGAUAGCCACAGUAUGUUUGAAAAUUGCCAUCAACAGAGAAGCAUGGUCCAGGCAUGGUGGCACAUGCUUAUAAUCCCAGUGACUCAGGAGGCUGAGACAGGAUAAUCAAAAGUUUGAGGCCAG